rnacentral:rRNA from 1 species
AUAAGCGCCGGUAAGGUGAUAUGAACCGUUAUAACCGGCGAUACCCGAAUGGGGAAACCCAGUGUGACUCGUCACACUAUCAUUAACUGAAUCCAUAGGUUAAUGAGGCGAACCGGGGGAACUGAAACAUCUAAGUACCCCGAGGAAAAGAAAUCAACCGAGAUUCCCCCAGUAGCGGCGAGCGAACGGGGAGGAGCCCAGAGCCUGAAUCAGCAUGUGUGUUAGUGGAAGCGUCUGGAAAGGCGCGCGAUACAGGGUGACAGCCCCGUACACAAAAGCGCAUGUGCUGUGAGCUCGAUGAGUAGGGCGGGACACGUGGUAUCCUGUCUGAAUAUGGGGGGACCAUCCUCCAAGGCUAAAUACUCCUGACUGACCGAUAGUGAACCAGUACCGUGAGGGAAAGGCGAAAAGAACCCCGGCGAGGGGAGUGAAAAAGAACCUGAAACCGUGUACGUACAAGCAGUGGGAGCACCCUUUGGGUGUGACUGCGUACCUUUUGUAUAAUGGGUCAGCGACUUAUAUUCUGUAGCAAGGUUAACCGAAUAGGGGAGCCGGAGGGAAACCGAGUCUUAACCGGGCGUUAAGUUGCAGGGUAUAGACCCGAAACCCGGUGAUCUAGCCAUGGGCAGGUUGAAGGUUGGGUAACACUAACUGGAGGACCGAACCGACUAAUGUUGAAAAAUUAGCGGAUGACCUGUGGCUGGGGGUGAAAGGCCAAUCAAACCGGGAGAUAGCUGGUUCUCCCCGAAAGCUAUUUAGGUAGCGCCUCGUGAAUUCAUCUCCGGGGGUAGAGCACUGUUUCGGCUAGGGGGCCAUCCCGGCUUACCAACCCGAUGCAAACUGCGAAUACCGGAGAAUGUUAUCACGGGAGACACACGGCGGGUGCUAACGUCCGUCGUGAAGAGGGAAACAACCCAGACCGCCAGCUAAGGUCCCAAAGUCAUGGUUAAGUGGGAAACGAUGUGGGAAGGCCCAGACAGCCAGGAUGUUGGCUUAGAAGCAGCCAUCAUUUAAAGAAAGCGUAAUAGCUCACUGGUCGAGUCGGCCUGCGCGGAAGAUGUAACGGGGCUAAACCAUGCACCGAAGCUGCGGCAGCGACACUGUGUGUUGUUGGGUAGGGGAGCGUUCUGUAAGCCUGCGAAGGUGGCCUGUGAGGGUUGCUGGAGGUAUCAGAAGUGCGAAUGCUGACAUAAGUAACGAUAAAGCGGGUGAAAAGCCCGCUCGCCGGAAGACCAAGGGUUCCUGUCCAACGUUAAUCGGGGCAGGGUGAGUCGACCCCUAAGGCGAGGCCGAAAGGCGUAGUCGAUGGGAAACGGGUUAAUAUUCCCGUACUUGGUGUUACUGCGAAGGGGGGACGGAGAAGGCUAUGUUGGCCGGGCGACGGUUGUCCCGGUUUAAGCGUGUAGGUGUGUGUUCCAGGUAAAUCCGGUUCACUUUAACACUGAGGCGUGACGACGAGGCACUACGGUGCUGAAGCAACAAAUGCCCUGCUUCCAGGAAAAGCCUCUAAGCAUCAGGUAACAUCAAAUCGUACCCCAAACCGACACAGGUGGUCAGGUAGAGAAUACCAAGGCGCUUGAGAGAACUCGGGUGAAGGAACUAGGCAAAAUGGUGCCGUAACUUCGGGAGAAGGCACGCUGACACGUAGGUGAAGUGAUUUACUCAUGGAGCUGAAGUCAGUCGAAGAUACCAGCUGGCUGCAACUGUUUAUUAAAAACACAGCACUGUGCAAACACGAAAGUGGACGUAUACGGUGUGACGCCUGCCCGGUGCCGGAAGGUUAAUUGAUGGGGUCAGCGCAAGCGAAGCUCCUGAUCGAAGCCCCGGUAAACGGCGGCCGUAACUAUAACGGUCCUAAGGUAGCGAAAUUCCUUGUCGGGUAAGUUCCGACCUGCACGAAUGGCGUAAUGAUGGCCAGGCUGUCUCCACCCGAGACUCAGUGAAAUUGAACUCGCUGUGAAGAUGCAGUGUACCCGCGGCAAGACGGAAAGACCCCGUGAACCUUUACUAUAGCUUGACACUGAACAUUGAGCCUUGAUGUGUAGGAUAGGUGGGAGGCUUUGAAGUGUGGACGCCAGUCUGCAUGGAGCCGACCUUGAAAUACCACCCUUUAAUGUUUGAUGUUCUAACGUGGACCCGUUACCCGGGUUGCGGACAGUGUCUGGUGGGUAGUUUGACUGGGGCGGUCUCCUCCUAAAGAGUAACGGAGGAGCACGAAGGUUGGCUAAUCCUGGUCGGACAUCAGGAGGUUAGUGCAAUGGCAUAAGCCAGCUUGACUGCGAGCGUGACGGCGCGAGCAGGUGCGAAAGCAGGUCAUAGUGAUCCGGUGGUUCUGAAUGGAAGGGCCAUCGCUCAACGGAUAAAAGGUACUCCGGGGAUAACAGGCUGAUACCGCCCAAGAGUUCAUAUCGACGGCGGUGUUUGGCACCUCGAUGUCGGCUCAUCACAUCCUGGGGCUGAAGUAGGUCCCAAGGGUAUGGCUGUUCGCCAUUUAAAGUGGUACGCGAGCUGGGUUUAGAACGUCGUGAGACAGUUCGGUCCCUAUCUGCCGUGGGCGCUGGAGAACUGAGGGGGGCUGCUCCUAGUACGAGAGGACCGGAGUGGACGCAUCACUGGUGUUCGGGUUGUCAUGCCAAUGGCACUGCCCGGUAGCUAAAUGCGGAAGAGAUAAGUGCUGAAAGCAUCUAAGCACGAAACUUGCCCCGA